CCUACGGGCGGCUGCAGUCGAGAAUCAUUCACAAUGGGGGAAACCCUGAUGGUGCGACGCCGCGUGGGGGAAUGAAGGUCUUCGGAUUGUAAACCCCUGUCAUGUGGGAGCAAAUUAAAAAGAUAGUACCACAAGAGGAAGAGACGGCUAACUCUGUGCCAGCAGCCGCGGUAAUACAGAGGUCUCAAGCGUUGUUCGGAAUCACUGGGCGUAAGGCGUGCGUAGGCUGUGUCGUAAGUCGUGUGUGAAAGGCGCGGGCUCAACCCGCGGACGGAACAUGAUACUGCGAGACUAGAGUAAUGGAGGGGGAACCGGAAUUCUCGGUGUAGCAGUGAAAUGCGUAGAUAUCGAGAGGAACACUCGUGGCGAAGGCGGGUUCCUGGACAUUAACUGACGCUGAGGCACGAAGGCCAGGGGAGCGAAAGGGAUUAGAUACCCGGGUAGUC
rnacentral:rRNA from 1 species